rnacentral:rRNA from 1 species
GACGAACGCUGGCGGCGUGCCUAAUACAUGCGAGUUGAGCGCUGAAGGUUGGUACUUGUACCGACUGGAUGAGCAGCGAACGGGUGAGUAACGCGUGGGGAAUCUGCCUUUGAGCGGGGGACAACAUUUGGAAACGAAUGCUAAUACCGCAUAAAAACUUUAAACACAAGUUUUAAGUUUGAAAGAUGCAAUUGCAUCACUCAAAGAUGAUCCCGCGUUGUAUUAGCUAGUUGGUGAGGUAAAGGCUCACCAAGGCGAUGAUACAUAGCCGACCUGAGAGGGUGAUCGGCCACAUUGGGACUGAGACACGGCCCAAACUCCUACGGGAGGCAGCAGUAGGGAAUCUUCGGCAAGGGACGGAAGUCUGACCGAGCAACGCCGCGUGAGUGAAGAAGGUUUUCGGAUCGUAAAACUCUGUUGGUAGAGAAGAACGUUGGUGAGAGUGGAAAGCUCAUCAAGUGACGGUAACUACCCAGAAAGCGACGGCUAACUACGUG